CCGGCUCGCUUGGACCGUGGGCUUUGCCGGUCCCUCUCCCAGGACCAGCCCCUUGCCACCUGCAGAAGGUGGUUGCAGCUCAGAUGUCACCGUUGUCACGCUGAUGGCUCCGAUGGGCUUUUUGCUCCUUGCCGCGGGGCUGGGGGUGCUGCAGCCGAAAACACAGUUCAGCUGGGACACUGCGGGGCUGUCAGGCCCUGAACAGCCUCACCUGGGGCUCCCCACGCCACUUAAGCCCCAUUUAAGCCCAUCUUAGUGCCAUUAGCAUCUUCCUCGCCUGGAGGAGGACGUGCUGAUCUCUGACCUGCUCCCAGCACGGACCCCAGCAGGGACCACAAGCUUAAUUAAAACGUUUUUCAUUAUAACUUUACCACCUAGAAACGCCUCGAAGAUGUUGUAAUCUCUCUCUGAAAAGCUGCAGAGGGGGGGAAUACCAAACAGCUUCAAUGUCGGUUUGAAACUGAAGAUGUGCAGCUGAAAUUCCCAGCUCCAUCUGCCCAACGGGAUGUGCCAGCAUCUGUCCCCAGCGCCAUCCUCACCAUCCUCAGGGCCUCGGCUGCGUCCCCAGGGCCAGGGCUCCAUCCAGAUACCCAAAUCCAGUUCAGAGCUGGGCAGAGAGAGCGUCACAUCCCAGAAAACAAGGAAAAUAAUCGCCAAGAUGAGCUCAGGACAAUCAAAACAUGCCCUCCCAUUAUUGUUAUAAGCUUUUGUUU